GCAAAGCAAUGAAAAAAAAGCAAGACAAGGCAGCUUAAUUUGUAUAGCACAUUUCAGCAACAGUGCAAUUCAUAGUGCUUUUCACAAAAUCAGUUA